CCCCAAUUCCAGAAGAACACUUCAGGUUUCGAACUCAAAAAUCAGCUGCUUGGCCUAGCCAACACAAAUACCCAGCUUCUAGUGAUGUUUCUGGGACGUUGAGUAUGUUUGACUCAGAUGCUGUAUCAUUCCAUAGCCACCUGAACGGCUAGCAUAAGUCCCACAAUUGAAAAGAGGCGUCUGUUCCUGAAUGCCACAUCUGGGAGACAACUUUAUUUUGACAAGGAGACUAAUGCAGAGGAAACCUAUUUUACAAGCUGGUCUCUCAAGACACUGGGAACACAUCAUCAGCUUCACUGCUGAGGGGUUAAUCCAAGGUUGAGCAUGUGACCAUAGCUGAACUAAACGAGUUUAUCCUCACUCCCAGCCUCAGGUUGUACAAUAAUAUUUAGUAUGAUUGUAUUUUGCAUGUGAUUAUGUUAAUGUAAAAUGUAGAGGUUGAAUUUGUCUGCCCCAUGAAGGUCACUGGAUUUAAUAUGGAUAAAGGCUGGUGCUAUGUCUCUUGCUCCAGAUGUACAAAGAAGCUUCAGCGGACGGUCUCAUCUUUUACUUGGCAACCUGCAGUAACACCAAUGCAGUUGGUUUCCUUCGAUAUGUUGGACCCUAAAAUGAGGUCCCAUAGACACAUCAGCAACUA